rnacentral:lncRNA from 1 species
UUACAAAAUAAAAAAGUACGAGAAAAAGUUUAUUAUUAAUUUUUUUGGUUCAUAACAAAAUAUAGAUUUCUUACUUUUAAUACUUAAUUUUUUAUUUUAAUUUCCAUUUAUGUGAUUUAUUUAAUAUAUAAUAAAUACAAAAAAGUGUAUUUAAAAAUAAAGAUAAUAUUGUAAAUUUAUACUGUCAGGGAAUUAUUGGUUAUUAUAAAAAUAAUAGGGGUAAAUGAUAUAUAUUAAUUACAAUAUGAGAAAAUUUGACAAAUUUUCUAUAUACAAAUGUAUAAAGUUAUUUGCCCCUAACUAGCCCUCAAAUUAUAAUUAUUUUGAUUUCGUAAUCCAUAUUUUCCAAGUAGAGUCUCACGAAAUCUUUCAUCUUUAUCUUCAAUUACUUAUGAAAACAACUUAAAUUUAUUAUGACCAUUUUUCAUUGGCUGUCCACAAAUUCUAUUAUCAAGAAUCGUGGCCCAGCUAAAUAAUUUUGUUUGGUUAACCGUUUUAGUUUAAAUCCUACAAAAAAUUGAUUUAGACAUAGCUCACACUUCGAUUCUUUUGAAAAAUUAAAUUGUUAGUGAGUAAAACUAUAUUGAGUAAUGAUACAGCCAUAAACUCUUGUACAAACUUAUUUUGUAUAAACUGAUGUGGCAUGAUAAGAUUGGUUGAAUUAAAUAUCACUUGGCCCACAUGAUUUGUUUUUAUUAAUUUAUAUUUUCAUUCAACCAAUCUUAUCAUGCCACAUCAGUUUGUACAAAAUAAGUUUGUACAAGAGUUUGUGGCUGUAUCAUUACUCAACUAUAUUAGGAGUAAAAUUAUAAAUAUAUAUAAUCAAUAAAAUUAUUUAAAAAUCAUCUAGUUAAAUUAUUUGGGACCACUAUACCUUAAUUAAUAAAUGUAAUCUAAUUUUAAAUUUAUAUCUUAAAAUGUGCGUACGUUUAAUAAACAUAUUUGGAGGUGUUCGUGAAAAGAUGGUUGGUAGAAAUUUAUCAAGGACAAUGACAGGUAGCUAUAAGUUGGUAUUAAUAAAAGCUCUCCUUGAUUUGAAAAUUCAAACUUGGUAAGCUGUGAAUUCAAUUUUAUAACAAACAGUGAAUUUAAGCCUGUACUUGAAAUCGGUUGGUUACUUUCUUUUUCGGUGCAACAUUGUUGGAUACAGUGCUUUUCUAAGCUAAUAUCCACUUCUCAUUGUCAAACCUUAAGUUUUUAUUUUAAUUUUAUUUUAAAUUUUUUUAAUGUUUUCGUUCCUCUAUUACCCAGCAUAAAAAAAGAUGUGAGAAUGUCAAUUGAAAACUUAAGGUAUCAAGAAUGAAAAAUUUUAAAAGCAAAAGUUAUUUCAACAGAGAAUGAGAGAUGGCUGAAGCAUUUUUUUUCAAGUCUUGGCCAACUGUUAUUUGAUUCAUUGUAACAUAGUGGGAUUGCCCUUAUGAAAUUGUUACUCAAGUUGGUGAUGAAGGAAUAAUCAUGAUAAGAAUAAAGCAAAAAGAGAAAUGUAAUCAUAAAGAAUGGUAUAGUAUUCUAUUAAUCUUUCUUGUCAUUGAAGUUCAAAGAAUAAUGUAUGGUCAGUAUAAUAUUUUAUGAAUAAUAAUAAAGCUGGAAAUAAGGAAUACAAAUCAUAUAAUCUCAACACUAGGAUUUUUGAACUCAUAAACAACAAGAUAUUUGAUGCUUGCAAGUAUAAUUUCAACUCCUCUGUCAUGCUGUUGAUUCUGCUGAUGAAUUGAGUUGCGAUCGCAGUGCUUCUUGCUUGUUUCUCAUAGAACCAAUAAUGAAUUAUACUCCCAGAAAUCGUAAUUUCACCUGUGCAUGAAACAAGAAACUGAUGCAAGUUGUGACCAUUAGAGCACCAAAACCAGCAUACACGAUCGGUACUGAAGGGUCAGUCUGAAAGCAACCAACAAGGAUUAAUUCUAGUGUAAUUAAUUUAUAAAAUAGAUACAAUUACAAAUUGUAUUGUAUGCAUUAAAUUAAAGUUAACUUCAGGUCAAGACCAGUACUCCCGAUAGCAUCUACAACAACAAUUUUUGUGCCAUCAAUGUCAAUUACAAGCUUAGAGUUAGGUCGUCUGACUCCUGCAAAUUUCCCUUCUUGUUCAUAUAUGACUAAUGAUUGCAGAUCACGAGCAAGCAUUGAUCUAAAAUUAAACAAGAUGGAAGAACAAACUACGCGCUUACUGAACUUCCAAAAUCUUAGAGGAAAGAAAAGUAAGUACUGAAUUCUUGCCUAAAAUGUAAGUGUGAAAGAAAUACAUACCUUCCCUCGAUAUUAGGAGAAUUAACAUUUCCAAGAGGUAAGAAAGUCCCAAACAGCUUUUUGUCUCCAUCGACUUUUAGAGGUGCCAUUGCCAAAUUGAAAGGUCCUUCAUCAUUCUUGAGUACCUGCAGUGCCGAAAAACUCCAAACUGUCUGAUAUAUCGUGAUCCCACCAUACCUUGAAGGGGAAAUAACACUUAUUGUUUUCUUCAUCACCUCCUUCCCCUCAAUGUCAAAUAGAGAAAGAUCACUGUGAAACUGCUUCAUCAGUAAACCGGAAGAAAAACUUAAAAUGAAAGUAAAACAUCACAUUUGAACCAAAGAAUUUUUGGAGUUUCACAAGAAAGAUAAAAAAAAAGAAAUGAUAGUUAGCAGCAAAUCUUUAUGAAGAUCUUGAUCAGACCAUGCUUAUAAUGCACAAUGCGUACCUAGAACUCCUUAUAAGGUCCCCCUUCCUUUAUGCUAGUUACUAGACAAGAAAAAGGAAACUUACCUCUCCACUAUCGUAGUAAUCCAUGUAGAAUUUAUUGACAUGAACCUCAGUGCUGAAAGCAUCAGUAGGAGUAGAAAGAAAUCCAUUUGGGCCUAACACUCACCCACGACAAAAUUCAGCACUUCUGGAAUCGUAACGGAACUCCUGAAGCUCCCAAUUGCACUAGGAGUUCCACCUACCAUUGUCAGCAGCAUCGCCAAAUGUACUCCAAUAGGGGCAAAACCGACCAACGAGUGCUUUAAAGGCAUACAAGGACGGUCCUUUCAAGAGUACCUGUAAUCGCAAAAGGCAAGCAUAAUCAGCAGGAAAUCUUGCAUAUAAUGCAGCAAUGUACGAGGAACAAAAAUGAUAUGAGUGCUUAUUAUUUAAAAAAAAAAAAGUUACAGUCAAUGCACUAUGCAUUUAAGUGAGACAUUAGGACCCAUGGUGAAUAAUAUAAUUGAUUUUGUUCAAACAUAAAUUGGUCUAUCAUGAUGACUGCUGGUACCUAAAAUAAGUUUGUCAGUACCUGUUGAUGACUCAAAUACUAUUUAAUCUCCAAGGAACUUAGACUUUACAAGUAUUAACAAGUGAAAUCUCAAUUUCAUGAGUGUCAACGAAUAAUGCUGUUAAAAGAGCAAGUCUACCCAGAAAAAGAACAUCAAAUAUUAUUUUUGCACUGAAUUGGUCUAUACAUAAAAAGUUUGGCAACUAAGACAAUUUUAAGUUUUAAAGAGUAAGAACAGAUGAAAGAAAACAAAAUAAGAAAGGAUGCAAAAUGAUAACCUCAUAUCCUGCACCCAUUAGAAUAACACCGAAAAGUAAGAAAGGAUGCAAAAUGAUAACCUCAUAUCCUGCAUCCAUUAGAAUAACACCCAAAUCUUGAAGAGAUGGUCUCGGAAGAGUACUUGAAAAUUCCUACUUUUCAGAUUGCCUCGGUAGAAUGUAAAAAACUCUAUCCGCAUAAAUUACAGAGUUGUGUCAACGGAAAGCUUAUCCAAAUCAUUUCCAUUGUAGCAAAGGAUUUUGGUAGAAUAACCAGACCUUUUUGCAACCUUAAUCAGGGUGAUUUGUGUAAUGUAACUGCAGGCCAUGAGUGAUAAUCCCAUUAUUUUGCCUCAAGAGAUAGAAUUCAACGGAUCAAAACCUGCGUAGGAUAGCUAGGUCUUAACCUUUGAACAUUCUCUUGUGAAAUAUAUUUACUUUACUAACUAAUUAGUAGAUGCGAUGUCUUUGAACUAUCCCGUCGUUUAUGUAAAUAAUAGUAUAUUUCAUACAUAAAUUUUUCCUAAUACUUUUGAGUUCUCAUGGUUACGUUCAUUUUGGUGAUGAACAUCUACUUGGUUCCACAAGAAUUUAUAAGAAUUGAGCCAUAAACAAUUCCCUUUGAAGUCGCCUCACUUCUCUCUUAUAUUUGUGAUUUUUUAAAUCAAAAGUAGCCUUUACUUUGCUUGGAUUUCCAACACAUAAGAAGCCAUUAAAAGGAUAGCAUACCUUUUCUUUCUACAGGCAUCAUUAUUUUCAUCAUAGGGAUGGACAUGAGGCUAAUCCCUGCAGUGAUCCAACAAGGUAUUUUAUAAUUAAAUUGUCCCUUUGAACCUAGUUCUCGGUAUCUCCAGUCAGUUAAGUUGGGUUUUCUUUCAUAAAAUAAACAUUUUAUUCUUCAGGCUUUAGUCUCAUUCCCCUCAAUGUUUUUUUCUACUAACUAUCUAUUUAACACUUUGGUUAGUGGAUCUGCAAUGUUAUCCUUUGACUUUAUAUAGUCAAUAGAAAUAACUCUAGUAUAGAGUAGUUAUCUAAUGGUGUUAUGUCUAUGACGUAUAUAUCUAGACUUAUCGUUAUACAUAUUGCUACGUUCCCUUCCAAUUAUGGAUUAACUAUCACAAUAUAUGCAAAUUGCUGGUACAAAUUUUACCCGUUUGGAAUAUCAUUUAAAAAAUUCCCUAGCCAUUCUGCCUCUUUACCACAUUUUUCUAAUGCGAUGAAUUCAUAUUCCAUUAUUGACUUGGCUAUCAUUGUUUAUUUGGAUGAUUUUCAUGAAACGACAACACCUGCUAGUUUAAACACGUAGCCACUGGUAGACUUUGAGUCUUUUACAUCAAAUAUCCAGUUUGCAUCAUUGUACCCUUCUAGUAUAGCUAGAUAAUAGUAUAAUGUAGCUCAUAUUUACGAGUAUAGUGUAAGCAUAUGAGUACUCUUACUAUAGCUUUCCAGUGAUCGGCAAUUGGAUUACUCAUAUAGCUAGUAAGUUUGCUUACUGUAUAAACUAAGUUUGGCCUUAUACAACUUGUUAGGUACAUCAGACUGUUUAUCACUCUACAUUCUUCCACUUGAGAGAACCUUCACCUCUAUUCGUAGAUAGAUGCAAACUUGUAUCCAGAGGUGUUCUUGGCCCAACAUAAUCUUCUUUGUUGAAUUUUCUAAGAAUUUUAUCCAUAUAAUGUGAUUGAUUCAGAAUAAGUUUUUUAGACGUCUUUCAAAUUUUUAUUCCCAAAAUGACAUUUGCUAGAGCCGUGUUUUUCAUGUCAAAACUAGACUUCAACAUAUUAUUGGUAAAUAUGAUCAUUUUGUCAUCACUCCCAACAAUUAACAUUUCAUCAACGUAAAGACAUAAAAUGACAUAGCCAUUUUCUACCUUUUUGAUGUAUAUAUAUAUAUAUAUAUAUAUAUAUAUAUAUAUAUAUAUAUAUAUACAUACAUUAUAAAUGUUCAAAUCUAGAAUUUUAAAGUGUAGGAACGUCCGAGAAAAUAUAUAAAUCGUACGGUUUAAGCGCUUUAUUUCAUAUAUAUAUAUAUAUAUAUAUAAAAUGAGCCUCUUGUUCACUAUCUUGAAUUUCUUCUUGUUCUUGGUCCUCACUAUCUUCGUUGAUAGCCUCAUGUGUUUGUUUAAUCAAACUUGAAUCUUUCUUGAAUUUACAUGGAAACACAUGCUCAAAGAAUGAUGCAAUUUUGGAUUUUAUUAUUGUAUUCUUAUAAAUAUCUAGUGUGAUAUGCACUACUAUUAUGUGAAUAACUUAUGAAAAUGCAAUCAACAGUCUUUAUUUAUGUCUUUUUUUCUCUUUUUAUGAAGGAAUGACAACUUUAGCAAGACACCCCUACACUUGCAAGUAUUUGUAGGAAAAUACUCUACUCUUCUAUAGUUCAUACGAGUCUUUUUUGCUUCUUUUUAGGGUACCUUUUUAAAAGGAUAAAACAACUUCUCCCCACAUAUUCUUAGGUAUCCCAAAACUUAUUAAUAUUGCAUUCAUAAUUUUUUUGAAGGUAUGAUUUUUUCGUUUAGUAAUCUCAUUAAAUUAAGGCGACUAAGGAGCUGUAGUUUGAUGUAUGAUUCCAUAUUACUCAGAAAGUGACUUAAAUAGAAUAAUAUACUCACCACCUCUAUCAAUUCUCAACUCCUUAAUUUCCUUAUAUAGUUUAUUCUCAACUUCAUUUUUAUAGAGCAUAAAUUUCUCUAUAGCUUUGUUCUUGCUUUUUAUAUAUAGGUAAUAAAAUAUUUAUUACCGCACCUCGAUUCUAUGGAUUUAAAAUCAUAAUCACUAUGUAUUAAGCCAAGUUUCAAUUCCUUGAAAUGAUAACCUUAUUCAUUUUGUUUCAAUAGAAAAGUCACACUUAUGUUUCGUACCAAUUCGGAAAGUGGGUAUAUGAUUCAUGUUAAUUAACUUAUGCAAGGCAUUAUAAUUAACAUAUCCUAAUCUAUCAUGCCAUAAAUUAGAAAACUCAAGAAAAUAAGCAAAAGAAAUAGCUUUAUUAUUCUUUGUUUUUACAACUAUUACAUUCAAUUUGAACAGCCCAUCAAGUACGUAUCAUUUUCCCAUAUACAAUCCAUUUUUAGGCAAAAUUAUUUUAUCUGACUCGAACACCAUUCGGAAUCCAUACUUGUUUAAAAGCAAUCCAGAUACGAGAUUCUUGUGAAUUUCUAGCACGUACAAAACAUUGUUUAGAAUUACCUCUUUUCUAGAAGUCAUCUUUAGAAUCAUUUGUCUUUGACCUUCUAUCUCAAGCGUGGUUGAAUUCUCUAUAUAUAGCUUUUCACCUUUUCUAUUACAUUCAAAGAAAAUAAACAUUUCUUUUAUCUGAGCAUACAUGUCAAAUGGCAACACUGUCAAUCCACUAUCUCUUAGAUUGAAGUGCACCAGAUCUACUUCAAAAACUACUCUAGAAAGAUUAAUGUCUAACAUAUCUUUUGACAUGUCCUCUACCAAAUUAGUUUCUCGAUGUCCCUUUUUCUUUGGCAAUCCACAUUCCAAAGCCUUGUGAUUCAUUUUAUCAUAGUUGAAGCAUUUCCUUUGAAAUUUGGUUUGCUUAUUGGAAAUCCAUCCUUUCGCACCUAGCUUGUUCUUGUUGGCCUUUCUAUUCCUAGUACUUUGACUACAUUCUAUAGCAUUGGCCUUAACCAUAGAAAUGACAAUUUUUUUUUUCAGUUGCUUCUUCAGCUUAAAGUUUGAUAAUUAGAUAUUUAAAAUUCAUUUCCUUUCUCUUAUGCUUUAGAUAACUCUUGAAAUUUUUUCAUGUUGGAGGCAGUGAUAGCAGCCACUUAAAAGUUUCAUUGAAAUCCAUCCCUUUGGGAUAAAUUUCUGCUAGAAUAAUUUGCUUGUCUUGAACUUGAUUUGUAACAAUUUUGAAGCCCAUUAUCUAAUAAUCUAGGAAGCAGCCUAUGACAUGACAAAUUUCUUAGUACUAGCAUCCUCAGUUUAUAUUUUCGCUCUAACGACUCCUAUAGCUCAGUGGCUCUUUUCUUUCCAACAUACACACUAUGUAAAGAAUUGCUCAAAGCCAUUCAACAUAUAAUUUCUACAAAGAAAAUUGGAAUGAUUCCAAGCAUUUAUUGCAGUAAUAAGAAUCUUCCAAGAUUUAAGGUGGUCAAGUAAAAGAAAAUUUUUUAUUGUUACCAUUUGAAGUUCUUUUAGUGAAUUUCUUAGGUUUUUUGCAUGAAGAAUAACUACAGAGACAACAGCACCAGUGCCAACACUAGCACACGAGAUAGUAGGAAGAGGGUCAAAAUUUCUCGUUUGCUAGCCCAUAUUAGUUGCCAUUUCAACAAAUAAAAUCUAUUAUAAGAUUAUUGUGUGUGUUAUUAUUAAUUAGCAAGCAAUAUAAGACUACCCACUUUGUAUGCAAAAAUAUACUAGUUAGGUUCUUAGAAAAAACUAGAGGGAUGAUAGUGGUUCCGCUUAAAAGCCAAACUCCUUGGGUAAUCUAUAUAGCCUUGAUGAUAAAACUUUUCUAAUGUACUUAAGAUUACUAAUAAGUCUCUUACACACCUAUCACAAUUUUAUAAUAUUAAUAAUAAAUUAAAUUUAAAUAGCAAAUAUAUAACAUAUAAAUCAACAAUGCCUAUAAAGAUAUAGUGUCCUUAAAAAAGAUUCGUCACUUUCGCAAUGGCGUUUAAAUUAGAUUGGUGUAUGUGUCCCAAAAUACAAUGGACCUAAAUAGUGUUGACAACAUAACGCCACUAUUCUAGCGAACUUUCAACAAAUAUUUGAAUUCUGUCACACUGAAGUCCAAAACUAGAAAUUAUUUGCUUAAGAGAGAAGAAUAAGAAUCACUUGGAUUUUUGGUGUAUUUUGCAAGUGAACACAAAAGCCAAUAUAUAUAGGUUUCAAAGGACAACUUUAGUUAGUUAAAAUUCAAUGUGGGAUUUUUUUGCAUUUCCCCAAACCAAUAAGUGCUUUUUAAGAUUCAAUUUCUGAUUCACUCAAACACCAAUUUGAGCAUAUAUGAUUUGUUGAAAACUUCACAGAGAAGAUUUCGAAUUAUCCAUGUAACUAUAUUUGUUUAAUAUUUUUUUCUCAAAAUUGGUCUCAGAGUAGCUACCUUGUGCUAUUUUUUCUAACAAAUAUAAGUCCAACUCUGCCCAUUAACCCAUCAGAUUAAUGAGACCUUGCCAUUAAGCCAUCAAAAUGGUGAGGAGACCAGCUCUUCCCAUUAACUUAUCAAAAUAAUGAAGUUAGAGUUUUUCCUCAGAAAUUUCAUGAACUGAUAUCAAGUGUUUUCAAAGAAUCUAGAUUUCUCAAAAGAAGUUAGUAACUCACCCAAAAAUCCAUUACAAAAAAGGUAUAGAUCAUUGAGCUUGGUAAGUUUAACUUCCAAGUGAACAUGGAAUUUUUCCUUAAAAAGAGGAGAAUCUUAUAUCCAAGUAGGAUAAUGAUCCAAUAAUUUAUAUUUAAGGAAUUUUACUUGAAAACUUGGUAAAUGAAAGUCCCAAUCUCCAAGCAAAAUCCCUUUCUGAAAUUCUGGCAAGUAUACAGAGUGAUCUACAUUGAACAUAAGAUCAAGACAUUGAAGGUUGAGCAAUUGAAAAAUCUCUUCAGGAAAUUCACCUUGCAAAGAACAUUCACUGAGAGAUAAGUAAAUCAAAGAAGAUAAAUUUGCCAUUGCUGGAGUAACUGCAGAAGAAAUAUCGAUAUCGAUAAGGUAAAGUGCACUCAUGUUGGUCAACUUCUUAGCUAGAUUUUGUUAGACCUGGCUUUUGGACCUCCAUCUUGGAGAGCUCUAGCAACUCUGUUGGUACUUGACCUAAAAAGAAAGACAGAGAGAGAUCCAGAGAUGUUAGCUUCGAAAGUUUCAGGAUUUGAGAUGGAAUUUUACAUAGAAGGAAUGUAAAAUUGAUAGAACCAUAGAGGCAACUACUAGUGAGUUUAGCAUGAUCACAUGACCAGUGUCCUAAUGAUCACAUUCGAUGCCAUCCCAUGACCAACAGUCAGUAACAUUUCCUUCCUCCUGGCACCAAGAUUCAACCUUGGUAUAAGCUUAAGGAUAAGCAGAAACAAAGUUAUCAAUCACAAGGCUUUGUUUGAAUUGCAAUAAGGCAGAACGCUCAUCAUUACGGCACUGUCGGUGCAAAUGAGCAAGAUAAUAACUAAUAAGAUAAAACAAUGAGAGCAAAACAAUUGCAUGCAUGCAAUUGAAGUGAGAUGAGAAUAACCCCCAUAAUGCUUUUAACACAAUAGGAUAUGAAAGCUUUGAGGAAUUUUCUUUAAAGGCCAUGCAUGGAACUGAGAUGAGGUUUAUAUCGGCAGUUCCAAGUGCAUCUAUUAUCUCCAAGUCAAUCUAGUUUCUUUUUCCACUAAUGUGAGCAGGUAUAAAUUCAAUAUAUUUUGUUUCCACUCAAGAAAUUUUGCCAACUAAAUUAUUGGCACCUAUAUAUAUUUGGGGUGGGUAAAAGGCUGAGCCGAAGCGAAAGUGUUUUAGAUAAAAAAAAAAAAUUAUUUUUAGUAGUAAAAUAUAAAUUUACGAAUGCUUUAUGAUCAGUUAUGUUGCAGUAUAAGCUAGUUCUUAAAAAAAAAAAUAAAUUUAUAGUGUAAUUGAAUACGUGUCAGUUUUGAUAAUUUUUAAGAACAAUAAUAUCGAAUAUGAAUCUUCAUGCAAUUAAAUGUGUUGUAUCAUAAUCAUAAAAAGCGGAAUAUUUAACCCAACAAGAUUCAAACAUUUGAUACGUUAUAAAACAUACUGGCUUUUAACUAAGAGCCGUUGAGAAUGCUAUCAACCGAAAACUCUCUCGACAAGAACAGCCCCCCUCCCCUUGAGGAUGACAGAUCGACUAAGAAAACCAAAUUCAGAGCACAGGGGGAGGAUGGAGAUAACCCAUCUAUGCUAUCCUUUCGAGAUAAGCUCAUGGAACAACAAAGGGGGAUAUUGGAUGCUGAAAUCGGUAGAGAAGAACUCAUAGGGAGGGAAAAGGAUAUUGAAAUCGAAAAGGAGGAUGUGGUCAUUGAACGGGAAGGCUAUUUACCUUCGAUUUCUUUUUCACAAAAAGUCCAUGAGCAACUAAUAAAACCAUGGCAAUCCACUGUGGUGGUGAAACUCCUUGGUCGCAUGAUUGGAUACAAAGCACUUUGCUCACGGCUGGAAAUCUUGUGGCCAAAUAUUGGGGGAUACUCUGUUAUAGAUUUGGACAAUGGCUAUUUUCUCGUUAAGCUCAGGAAGGAAUGCGAUGCUGACUUUGUUCUUACAGAAGGGCCAUGGCUGGUCGCGGGGCAUUACCUGACUGUUCAGCCAUGGUCACCUCAUUUCGACAGCUCGAAUGAAAAGAUUGACAAAAUCACAGCAUGGAUAAGGCUUCCAGGUAUGCCUUUACACUACUACCAUAAAAAAAUCAUUAGAAUGUUGGGGCAUGUCAUUGGAAAGGUUAUCAAAAUUGAUUAUAAUACGGAAUUGGCGACGAGAGGGAAGUUUGCCCGUAUUGCAGUUGAAGUAUCCCUUGGAAGUCCUUUAAUCUCUCAAUUUUUAUUGGAUGGUAGAAUCCAAAGGAUUGAAUAUGAAGCUCUCCCAACAAUAUUCUUUGGAUGUGGAAAGUAUGGACACAUUUCUUCCGCAUGUCCAGAUACUUUGAGGUUGGAAACUAGAGGGGAGAAGGCGAAUGAUAUGGCUCUAGGUGGCAACACCAACGCAAAAUCAGAGGUCUCGCCGGCGGUAGUAAAUCUGGAAAAUCCUAAAUUUGGCCCUUGGAUGAUCGUGGCUAGGAGAGGAAAUUAUAGAGGAAAUAAGGGAAGAAUAGAUGCACAGGAGCCGAAUCAAAACAGCUUUGGAAAACAGAAAAUAGGCUCCAGAUUCAGUGUUUUACAUCAGGAAAAUGGGUUAGAAAAUGAUGCUGGGGUGAGUUCAAACGCGGCUACCACCAUGGACAACCACAAGAAGACCGUUGAUCCGACCAAAGACAAGGACAUGGUGAUAUCACGUGACUCUAAAGGACCCACCCCAACGAAGUCGGCUGGGAGCAAAGGAAAACUCGUGACCAGAAAUGAGAAGACUGACACACCUGAACACACUGCACCCACACCUUUCCGUGAAAUACACACUAGACCUCUCCCCCCCACAAAUGAACCCAGCUCAUCAAAACAACAACCCCUCGAGGCCAUGGAUAGAAAUAUCUCAAGAAACAAAUCUAAGUUAUCUAGAACCCAUCAUUUUGAACCAACUUUAAUCCCAACGUCGCUAGAUCCUAAAUAUCAUUCAGCAAUUAUAUUCAAAAACAACUUUGAAAAUGAGACCUCUCAGCCCCCCCUGUCAAUCCCUCCCAAACCAAACCCAAAUGAGGAGCCUCCUGAUAUAGGAGAUAGAGACAUAGAAAAGGUGGGGAGGGAAUCAUCCGACAGCGAGUAUAUGGAGGAAUCAGAGGAGGAUGAUUCUGAGAACUCAGAAGAGUCUAAAUUUUUCGUUGAGGCGGAUAAUAUGGAGGUUAAUCAGCAAGGCUUUGAGCCUUUGGAGUAAGUUGGUCCUUCUCUUUCAUUUCUAUUAUAUAAUGAAUCUGUCUUUUUUGUUUCGGAAUUGUCAGGGGGCGGCCUCGCAGUCCUUUAGACGAAUUUUCAGGAUGUUUACUCAAAGUUAUAAACCUCAGCUUGUGGCUCUUUGUGAACCCCGGAUUAGUGGAGUGAAAGCGGAUGAUUUUAUUCGUCAUAGUGGGUACGAUUAUUCCCAUCGUGUGGAGGCGGCUGGUUUCUCAGGUGGAAUUUGGCUUCUAUGGAAAGCGGGUUUAGAUGUCACCAUCCUCAUUAACCAUAGGCAAUAUAUUCACCUCCAAGUGUCGGAUAAAAGAGGGUUAAUUACCUGGGUCACAGCGAUUUAUGCUAGCCCUGUUCCUUCUCUCCGAAACUCUCUUUGGAAUGAUAUAAAUUAUUUGGCUGAGAAUAUUCAGGGUCCUUGGUUGCUAGCAGGUGACUUCAAUGCUAUUCUUUCAAUCUCAGAGAGUAAAGGAAGCACUAAUAACCGUAGCCAGCCUUGUAAAAAGUUUCAAGAGUGGUUCCACAAACACGGCCUCUGCGACCUCCAUUAUACGGGGCCAAAAUUUACUUGGAAAAGAGGUUCCCUUUAUAAGCGCUUAGAUAGAGCCAUUUGCAAUGAUAGGUGGUUCAACACUUUUAACAAGGCGCGAGUCUUUCAUUUACCAAGAUUGGGGUCUGACCAUCGUCCGAUUCUCCUAAGUUUGAAUGAUGAGAGUAUUGGAAACAUAGGGGUGAAACCUUUUCGUUUCCUUGCUUCUUGGCUCAUUGACAAGCGGUUCUCGGGCUUUGUUUCUCAGGUGUGGAAGAAGGAUGUGGAUUAUACUGUUUCGGUAAAGGAGUUUACUGAAAAAAUUGACCAUUGGAACAAGAAUGAGUUUGGAAACAUCUUUCAGCGGAAAAAAAAUAUCUUAGGUCGAUUAAAUGGAAUCCAAAAAGCGCUAGAGAGUCACCAUUCGGAUAAUCUAGUAAAGCUGGAGACUCAGCUCAGCAAGGAGCUUAACGACAUUCUUAAUCAAGAAGAACUCUUGUGGGUUCAGAAAUCGCGAUGUGAUUGGAUCCAGUUUGGAGACAGAAAUACUUCUUUUUUCCACCAGAGGACAAUGACGAGGAGAAGACAUAACCACAUUGUCUGGAUGAAAGAUGAUAGGGGCCAGUGGAUUUCGGAUGAGGAUGAGCUUAAGGCUCAUGCUAUCAAUUUUUUCACCAAGUUAUACAUGGCUGAUAAUAAUUCUAUUGAGAGCUAUUAUACCCCUAAUGAUUUUCCUUGCAUUGAUACAGGGAGGAACCAUGACAUGGAGAAACCAGUGGAUGACGAGGAAAUUCGUGACAUUAUUUUCAGCAUGAAACCAUUAAAGGCACCGGGGAGUGAUGGCCUGCACGCUAUUUUCUACCAAGCUCAAUGGGAGGUGGUGGGAAAGUCGGUUUGCAAACAAAUCAAAGAUGUUUUCAAUGGAGAGACAGUGCCUGAAGAUUUCUUGAAGAUUUUAAUCGUUCUUAUUCCUAAAAUUGACAAUCCAACUAGUUUAAAUUCUUUUCGACCUAUUAGUCUUUGCACAAUUAUGUAUAAAACGAUCACUAAGAUUAUCGCUAAUAGAUUAAAAACUUUUCUCCCUGACCUUGUAGGUUCGCAUCAAACGAGCUUUGUUCCAGGAAGGCAUAUCACCGAAAACAUUAUUAUCGCCCAGGAGGUUAUUCACAGUAUGAGACGGAAGACGAGCAAACGAGGCUUUAUGGCUAUCAAAGUAGAUUUGGAGAAAGCUUAUGACAGAUUAAGUUGGGAGUUUAUCAAGGAGACUUUGGAUUUUGUGGGUCUUCCUACAAAUUUUAUACGAAUCAUAAUGGAGUGCAUCACUUCCGGCUCCAUGCAAAUUCUUUGGAAUGGCAAGCUGACCGAAUCAUUCAAGACUUCUAGAGGGAUUCGUCAGGGGGAUCCAAUCUCUCCUUACAUUUUUGUGCUAUGUAUUGAAAGACUCAGCCAUCUCAUUAACCGAGAAGUGCAGCAGAAUCGAUGGAAACCCAUAAGGCUGUCCCGGAAUGGUAUACCCUUUACCCAUCUUUUCUUUGCUGACGACCUUCUUCUCCUUGCAGAAGCCUCCUCUGAUCAAGCGAAGGUGGUGAUCAAAACUUUGAAGAAUUUCUGUAACAUGUCUGGAGAGAAAGUUAGCACAGAAAAAACUCAUUUAUAUUUCUCAAAAAAUGUGGCUCCUGCGGUGUCAAAGGAAAUUAGUGAGCUAAGUGGGUUCUCAACCUCCAAAGACUUGGGGAAGUAUUUGGGUAUGCCGCUUCUUCAUGGUCGGGUGACCAAUAAAACCUAUCAGGAGGUCCUAGAUCGUGUAGAUAAACGGCUCUCAGGAUGGAAUGCUAAGCACCUCUCUUUUGCUGGAAGGCUGACCCUCACUCAAGCGGUAAUCCAAGCCUUGCCAAUUUACUCUAUGCAAACCACAAUGAUUCCGCGAGGCACUCAAGAAAAAAUCAAUCGCAUUUCUCGCCGAUUUAUAUGGAGUGGAAAUAAUGAAAGGAAUAGCAUGGCCAUGGCUAGCUGGGAAAGAAUCUGUCAACCCAAAAUGGUAGGAGGGCUUGGCUUAAAAAAUCUUCGCUACAUCAAUGAGGCGCUGUUGAUGAAGAUUGGGUGGAAUAUUGUUGUGUCCCCUACCAGCCUGUGGAUUAAAGUGUUAUGCUCUAAAUAUGGAGUUGAGAACGAUAACCUCCCCACAGAGUUACCUACAAGAUACGGUUCUUAUGUGUGGCGUGCUGUGGGCACGGUGUGGAAUAAAGUCUUGCAGGGGAUUUGUUGGCAAGUUGGAGAUGGGUCAAAGGCUCGUUUUUGGAAAGAUUGUUGGGUUAUGCAAAAUGUAAGGUUGAAGGAUUAUGCUGUGAUGCCGGUGUCGAGCAAUAUGCUGGAAAACUCGAUCAGGGACUAUGUGAACGAUCAUGGGCAAUGGAACUGGAAUGUUUUUAGCAAUUAUCUUCCUCACAGCUUAGUGCUUGCUAUUGCUGCCAUUAUGCCUCCUUGUGUCGAGGGGGGUAUGGACCGCAUAUUUUGGGGCUUCUCGACUAAAGGAAAUUUUACAGUGAAAUCAGCUUACCAAAAUAUUUCAAGCCGAGUCUCCAGCAAUAUUGGACCAAGAUGGGAUCUUAUUUGGAGCUGGAAAGGGCCCCAAAGUGGAAAAACUUUCAUGUGGUUGGCUAUUCAAAAAAAAUUAAAGACUAAAGCUGAGCUUGCUAGAAGACAUAUUUUGGCAGAAAACAAUUGUGAGAGAUGUAAAGUUUGCGUGGAAGACUCGCUUCAUGCCCUUAGAGAUUGUGUGGUAGCCAAGCGUAUUUGGUUAGACAUAGUCCCGUGUAGCUUACGUGGAAGUUUUUUCUCUUUAAAUUUAGAGGAUUGGAUUCUUACUAAUCUAAAGCCUAACUGUUAUGAUUGUAAUGGAGUGGACUGGUCGGGAAUUUUUGGCACGGCAAUCUGGCGGUUGUGGUUUUGGAGGAACCAAGCUCUGUUUAAGAAAGUACAGAGGAGCAGUCAAAGCAUCACUUUAGAUAUUAUGACCAGAGCUGAAAAUGCCCAUAAAACCAUGAUGGCCUUGAUCAAGCCUGGAGCUUCAAAGAUGGUUAAAUACUUUGGGUGGAAACCUCCUCCUGAAAAUGUCUUCAAAUUGAAUACUGAUGGGGCCUGCAAAAAGAUGAACAUGGCAGCUGCAGGGGGCUUGAUAAGAAAUGCAAAUGGGAUCUGGAUUGCUGGAUUCUGUACGAACAUUGGAAUUAGUUCGGUUACAAAUGCUGAGCUUUGGGGUUUAUUCUAUGGUCUUGACCUGGCUUGGAAGAUGGGAAUUCGGUCUUUGUUGGUUGAAGUUGACAGUAAGUGCAUCACUGAGCUUCUUGCAGACACGAACAAUAACCCAAGCAAAUUUUCUUCUGUGAUUCAAAGUAUCCGAAGGCUCAUAAAUAGAGAAUGGCAUGUGUGCAUUAGCCACAUUUACCGCGAAGCAAACUUUGCAGCGGAUUUUCUUGCAAAUUUCGCAAUGAGGCAACCUCUUGGUUUUCAUGUCCUCCACAACCCUCCGAAUGGUGUUGUUAAUUGUUUAACUUAUGACAUGUACGGGAAUACUUUCCCACGUUUUGUUUCGGUUUAGCCUUGUUUGGCUCCCUUUUAUAUCAAAAAAAAAAAAAACAUUUGAUACGUUAUUGUUAUUGGAGGAUACAAAUGUUGCUAAUCCCAAAAAAAGCCCCUAAACUUAUUUCUCUCUUUUUAACGUUUAACGAACUUUGGAUCUCGCGGGAAAAUCCCUCCAACGUGGCGACCUACAAUUGGCUACUCUACGUGUUUGAUUAAAGUCCGAUUCUAAUUUUGAGUUCUUGUGAGAUUUGACGAAAGAACUCAUCAUGUUAAGUAUGUCUUAGGAUUUAAUAUAGAUAAGGAAUCCUAGUCCUUGAAUGCUGCGGCCGGCAAGCAAAAGCAACGUGUUUCAUCAUCAUUGGCUCGACUACUAUAGCAAAGAACAAAGGACACAAACACUAUAAAUAGCUCGCCCCUUCAAGCUCGUUUCGCUCCACUUGAAAACAGAGAAAGCAGAGGAAACGCUUCAUAAAAGCAGCCAAAAAAACAAAUCCAGAGAGAAAGCACGCGCAAAAGCAAGCAAAACAAUGAAGAUCAAGAACAAAGCAUUAGCUAUCUUUUUUCUCUUUGCUUUACGUAAGUACUUUCCUCUUUCUGUUCUGCUAGAAGAAACCUUUAUCAUCGUAUUUGGUUUUGUUUAUGCUCUGUUCUUUUGGCCGAAUUUUACUCUUUUUUUUUUUUUUUUUUCAGAUUUCUCGUCAGGUUUAGCUGCAGCGGAUGAUACUACAACGAAGCUAAGGACGGUGAUUGGCAUUGAUCUAGGGACUACGUAUUCUUGUGUGGGUGUAUACAGAAACGAUCAUGUAGAGAUUAUAGCGAACGACCAAGGCAACAGAAUCACCCCGUCAUGGGUUGCAUUCACUGAUACUGAACGUCUGAUUGGGGAAGCCGCCAAAAAUCAAGCGGCCCUCAACCCAGAGCGUACGAUCUUUGAUGUGAAGCGCCUCAUCGGGGGAAAGUAAGCAGUCACACACCCUGUUUUAGUUUACGAUAGUUUAUUGUUGGUGUGUGUUUGGAGGCGAUUUUGUGCUUGUCUGGUAAUAGAGUUAAAGCUGUUUUUAAGUAAUUCUCUAAAAAAGCACUUUUAAACUCGCUUGUUUGCUUUUGAUGCUGUAGGUUUGAUGAUCCUGAGGUGCAAAGAGAUAUGAAGUUCUUGCCUUAUAAGGUUGUGAACAAAGGUGGCAAGCCUUAUAUUCAAGUGAAAGUGAAAGGAGAGACCAAGGUCUUUAGCCCUGAGGAGAUCAGUGCUAUGGUGCUUCAAAAGAUGAAGGAAACAGCUGAGGCAUUCUUGGGGAAGAAAAUUAAAGACGCUGUCGUUACCGUUCCAGGUACAUAUACAUAUUACCGUUCUUGUUCUGUACUGUUUGCAUAUCUUGUAUUGUAGUCUAAUGGGUGUCUUUUUGGUUGUUGAUUUUAGCUUAUUUCAAUGACGCGCAAAGGCAGGCAACGAAGGAUGCAGGGGUCAUAGCCGGGCUCAAUGUGGCUCGGAUAAUCAAUGAGCCCACAGCCGCGGCUAUUGCCUAUGGUCUCGACAAGAAAGAGGGAGAGAAGAACAUUUUGGUCUAUGAUCUUGGUGGUGGUACAUUUGACGUUAGUAUCUUGAAUAUUGACGAUGGUGUGUUUGAGGUUCGUGCCACACGCGGAGACACUCACUUGGGAGGAGAGGACUUCGAUCACAGAGUCAUGGACUAUUUCAUUAAGUUGAUUAAGAAAAAGUACAGCAGAGAUAUAAGCAAUGAUAACAAGGCUCUUGGGAAGCUUCGAAGGGAAUGUGAGAGGGCCAAGAGAGCUCUGAGCAGCCAGCAUCAAGUCAGAGUGGAGAUUGAGUCACUCUUUGACGGUGUUGAUUUCUCGGAGCCAUUGACAAGAGCAAGAUUCGAAGAGUUGAACUUGGACCUGUUCAAGAAGACAAUGGGGCCUGUGAAGAAGGCAUUGGAAGAUGCCCGGUUGAAGAAAACUGACAUUGAUGAGAUUGUACUUGUCGGAGGAAGUACUCGAAUCCCCAAGGUUCAGCAAUUGUUGAAGGACUUGUUUGAUGGGAAGGAGCCUAACAAGGGCGUCAAUCCAGAUGAAGCUGUUGCAUAUGGCGCAACAGUUCAAGGUGGGAUUCUUAGCGGCGAAGGGGGUAAAGGUAAAGGAUCCACUAUUUUUUUUUUUUAAUCUUCUCUUUUAUCAGGAUGCAAUUGAUUAAUUAGAAUAGCUAAGUAUACAAAGCUUUUUGUUUGCUGCAGACCUUCUAUUGCUGGAUGUGACUUCCUUGAGUCUUGGUAUUGAAACAGUGGGUGGUGUUAUGACCACGCUAAUUCCCCGGAACACUGGUAUCCCCACUAAGAAAUCUCAGGUUUUUUCCACUUACCAAGACCAGCAAAGCACAGUGACUAUUAAGGUAUAACAAGUGAUUUGCAUGAUUGCAUACGCGGAUAAACUGAUGCUGCACAUUCAUUCUUUCUACUUUUGAACUAACAUGUACUUGAAAAUUGAAAUUAAAAUUCAGGUGUACGAAGGUGAAAGAAGCUUGACAAAGGAUUGUCACGAGCUUGGACGAUUCGAUCUAUCUGGCAUUCCACCUGCUCCAAGGUAAAUUACAUUUCAAUAUAUGCAUUCGAUUGGUUGAAGAUUGAUCUGGAUACUUAACAUGUUCUAAAUGUUGUUACAGGGGAGUUCCUCAAAUUCAGGUCACAUUUGAUGUUGAUGCCAAUGGUAUCCUACAUGUGACAGCUGAAGACGAGGCAGCGAAGAACAAGCAAUCCAUCACCAUAACCAAUGAUAAGGGCCGUUUCAGCGAGGAAGAGAUUCAGAGGAUGGUGAAGGAGGCUGAGGAAUACGCGGAGGAGGAUAAGAAUGCGAGGGAGAGGAUUGAUUCCAGGAACAAGUUGGAAAGUUACAUCUACAACAUGAGGAGCACCAUCAACGAAAAAGAUAAUCAUAAGCUUGCUGACAAGAUCGAUUCUGAUGAUAAGGAGAAGAUCGAGAGCACACUGAUGGAAGCUCUUGAAUGGUUGGAUGACAAUCAGAAUGCCGAGAAGGAUGAUUUUGAUGCGAAGCUGAAGGAGGUGGAAGCUGUAUGCAAUCCUGUGAUCAAAGAGGUUUAUGAGAAGAGUGGGGGGAGUUCGUCACCUGCUGAUUAUUCAGAAGAUGAAGAACCAGAUGAUGAGCUGUAAAAACCUUGGGGAUUCAAUUUUCUUUUGUUGCCUUUUUAUUUUUUUUGUUUAUUUUGCCAUGUUGUCAACUAAUUUCCCAGAGAUACCAUAAAUGUUAUUCUAAUAGUUACCAUCAAUUUUUCUGAAAUGACUUUUAAUUGUUUAAAUCUAUUUGUGAUUGUACUGAUUUCUUAUAUUUACAAGCACAUAACAAUAUUGAACCAAAAUGUUAUUAAGAAUUCUGAUGCCUUUACAAAAAAAGAAAAAGAAAAAAGAAACAGAAGCAAGUUAAAUAAGCAAAAGCAAAAGUAGACAGAGACUAGCUAAUAAAUUGCAGCAGCUAAUGAAUAAUCUUCAAGCAUUAAAGAAGUCGAUAAGCAUGGAAACUGAAGCUUCAGAGUGAGGCAACACAAGUGAAUGAGAUUUCAUUGCUUGUAUGAAAGCAGAGACUUUCCCAGCGUCAAGAAAGUUAUUGCUGUGUUCUUUAGCUUCAACGGCCUGGCUGCUGCUGCUACUACUGCUGCUUGAUUCAACAACAUUAAUAAUAUUGUGGUGGCUGGAGCCAUUAUCAUUUCCCCAAAUGGUUAGACCCUUUUCACGCAGCUUGGCUAACUCACUUGUCCAUAUAUCCACAAGUGCAGACAUUAUUGUUGCUAAUUAAAUUUUGAAGAAGAUAUCUUGAGUUAAUGUUUUUGAUUGUAAGAUGUUUUGAGAUAUCAAGAUUUUGAUGGCUGAAUGGGGUUUAUAAAGGCUAUGAUCAAUUGUUGGUUUUGUUUCGAUUUUCAACGGCGCACAAAUUUUGUUGUAUAGAGCGAUCAAGUUCACA